UAAUAAUGAAAAGUUAAAAGAUAUAUAGUAGAAGAAUAUUGUGAUGGAAAAGUAAAAAGAGGUAGUAAUAAUAGUUUAAAAGUAAAAAAAAUAGGUAAAAAGAAAAGAAAGACUCUUGCUUUGGGUAUAAAAUAUGGGUCAUUUGUCACUUAAAGAGAACAGAGAGAGCAUAUUUUUAGAACUUAAACGGAAACAUAAAUAGGGCUUUUGAACCUGAGAUUUUUGAGAGUUAAAAAAUUGAAGACUUUCCGUUUCCUUUCACUAUUGAAAUCAGCCUUGAGUGCUAUUGUUUGAUUGAAGCUUGAAUUUUUUUUAGUGUUCAAAAAGGCAGAAGUUACCUCUUUUGGCAACUGAUUACUUUUCUGUGGGUCUGGUUUAUUUUUCAAUAUUAUUGGUAUUCAAGUAAUGUUGUUAUUGGUGUCUAUCUGUUGGUUUUCAAUCCGUUGCUGGGCUAUUCUGUUGGGUUUUGAACACUGGUUCAGUUGAAUGUUGUGGUUUCCUCUCGAAAGUUCACUGGUAUUUCCAUUACUGGAUACUGGUGGUUAUUGAACUUGUUUGUUGUUGUGCUGUGCUACUACUGUUCUUGCUGAUCCUCUUCUUCUCUUUACUUUUCCAAAUAUCGGGUACAUAUUGAUACAUUGGUUUUCUUGUAAGAUGAAAGUCAAAGUAUGAAUAUAGAAAUGAAGAAGUUGAAGUUUUUUUUUCAAUUCGUUUUAGUUUGUAUAUUGGAUAUGAAAUUGUAUAUAUAAUUCAUGUCUCCU
rnacentral:lncRNA from 1 species